GUGAGGGCAGCAUGGAGGAAUCUAAGGGAAAACCACCUUCACACUUGCACCCCAGCGGCGUGGCCAGCCCCACCCCCACCUGCCUGUGGGAGGGCGGGAGUCAGAACCCCAAGAAAUCAGGGCGCAAGGGAGCAGGAGCACAUCCCGCUGUACAGGAGCCAUGCCUCAUUUCAUUAUCUAGAAAGUGCGUGCUAUUUUUAUGGAAAGUUCUAUGCUCAACUAUGCAGGUUCUACUCAACAGUUCAUUCUCUAAAGAAAACGAGAAACGAGUGGACCACCCCGUUUGUCUUCUGGCCCCAGACAAGUCAUCUGAGACACCCCUGGGCUGGAGGGGAGUUUACAAGGCACAUUCCGGAGAAGCCAGGGUGGGCCCAGCCAGGGCAGAGGCUCCAUGGGAAGGAGCCUGUGCCUAGCAAGAGACCCCAGGGUGUCUUUAAAUGGGGGUGGGAGCCAGGAGGGGCCCCCUGGCCGAAGCCCCUCAGGUAGCCCCAGAAGCGGCUCCAGCCAUUCAGCCUCUCCCGGCAGAAGGCACCUCCGUCCUGGGCCUGCAGCCGAGCUCAGAACCGGAAACGGCAGGAGGGGAAGACAUGAGGGUGGCAGGCUGUGUGCUCACAGACGAUGAUGGUGGGACCCUUGGGAGCGAGUGGCAAAAACCCAACUCAACCCGGCUCAAGGGAAUAAAAGGCUCAGAAAGUCCAGAGGUGCAGCUGCGGCUGGCCCCGGGCCUCCAGUGAUGUCCCUGGGCAUCGGAGACCCCUAUUUCACCCCUGAAUGAUCCCGGGGGCAGGCGGCCCAUCAGCAGGGACCCGGCUCCCUCCGUCUCCUCCCUGGGGGGUCCUCUGCUGUCCUGUCAUCUGGAGCACAUUCCAGCCGGUGAGAGGCCAGAAGAGGACUUGGGCUCAGCCCCCUCCUCUCGCCUCCUGGGACUUGGUCCCGUGGCUGCCCAGCUGCAAGGGGGCUGGGAGGCCGAGCCCUUAGCUGGGUCCCCGGCUGCAGCUGAGAUUCAGGGUGAAGGGCAGGGUGGAUGCGAGGGGGCCAGCUGUGUCCUCUCUGCUUUCCUCUGCGUUGGAGAAGGAGCCAAGUCUGUCCCAGGCUGCCAGCUCUGGGGGAUGAGGUGGGCCUGCAGCGCACUGUGCCCCCCGUGUUGGCCGAGCCCCGGACAGCGAGCCCUGGCUCCCCUCCAAGGCUGGCUGGCCCAGCUGCCCCUCCCAUGGACCCUCUGCUGUCUCUGAGGCCCCCUGAGCCGGCCAGGCCAGCUGGACGCACCACCAGCCCCUGGCCCCUGCCGACUCUGGGCUUUGUCACCCACAGUGUCAGCUCCAAGCUGUUAAUGGAAGCAGCUUGAACAGGCCAUUACGGCCGCCAGGAGAUGAGCUCUGCUAACGGGCGCCCCUCAUCCGAGGCACCAGCUUUCCUCGUGCGUCCUGUUUUGCCCAGGUCUUCAUGUUUUGCAUUUGCUCAGCUCACCUGAGGUGACACCAGGCCCUUCUCUGCUUGAAGUGCUGUUCACCGUCACUUGUACGCGUGGUUCCACUCAGCAUGUCUUCUGGAAAUGUGCGCCGUGAGGUCGCAGGGUGGGGAGAAGGGCCAGUGAGCCCCUAGAGCAUGGCCCUCGCUGUCACCUGAUGGCACUCAGUGAAUGUGGAACGGACGGACGGACAGACAGAUGGACAGGCAGGUGGGAAGCCCUGAAGGGAAUGAGGGAGGGGGUGGAAAGCCAGGAAGCUCCUCCUCACUUACGUCUUCAGCCUGCAGGAUGGGGGGGGGGGUGAGGCUCAUUUGCAUCAUUUUUUCCCCAUUUCCCCCCACCGCUGCUGUACUGGGGUGAAUGGUGUCCCCCAAAUUCACUUUCCCUGGAGGCUCAGGUGGCCUCGUCAGGAAACAGGCCCUUUGCAGAUGGAAGUGGGACGCGCUCAUGCUGGACGAGGGCCCCAAGUCUGAUGUCAGGAGUCCUUGUGAAAAGAGGACACACAGACACACGGACACACGGAGAAGUCCCCGUGGAGGCCACAAGCCCAGGAGCACCCGGGGCCACCAGUAGCUGCAGGGCCUGGCCCAGGCUUCCGGGGAAACCACGAUUUCCAGCUAUGACCCCCGGAACCCCAAGAUGCACAGUUUUGUUGUCUGAAGCCCCCGAGUGUGGACCUUGCCUCGGUCACCCCAGUUGCUGAGCGCACCCCCGCUGCACACAGGGCAGCAGCUCUCAGUCCCCACGUCUCCUCUCAGGAGAGCCGUCAGCUCGGCAGCCAGCAGGUUGUGAACAGGUUGUGGGAGGA